rnacentral:rRNA from 1 species
GUGAUAGUCAGACGGUUAACAAAACGGAAUGGAAAGUCCGGCCAUAGUAGGUGAUAGCCCUGUAUGUGAAAACCGACUGGUGGUACUGAGCUAGAGAAAAGUAGGGCGGGGCACGAGAAACCUUGUCUGAAUAUGGGGGGACCAUCCUCCAAGGCUAAAUACUCAUCAUCGACCGAUAGUGAACCAGUACCGUGAGGGAAAGGCGAAAAGAACCCCGGGAGGGGAGUGAAAUAGAUCCUGAAACCGCAUGCUUACAAAAAGUAGGAGCCCGCAAGGGUGACUGCGUACCUUUUGUAUAAUGGGUCAGCGACUUACAUUCAGUGGCAAGGUUAACCGAAUAGGGGAGCCGUAGAGAAAUCGAGUCCGAAUAGGGCGUCCAGUCGCUGGGUGUAGACCCGAAACCAAGUGAUCUAUCCAUGGCCAGGAUGAAGGUGCCGUAACAGGUACUGGAGGUCCGAACCGACUAGUGUUGCAAAACUAGCGGAUGAGCUGUGGAUAGGGGUGAAAGGCUAAACAAACUUGGAAAUAGCUGGUUCUCUCCGAAAACUAUUUAGGUAGUGCCUCAAGUAUUACCUGCGGGGGUAGAGCACUGUUUAGGCUAGGGGGUCAUGGCGACUUACCAAACCUAUGCAAACUCCGAAUACCGCAGAGUACAGCUUGGGAGACAGAGCACCGGGUGCUAACGUCCGGACUCAAGAGGGAAACAACCCAGACCGCCAGCUAAGGUCCCUAAAAUUGGCUAAGUGGGAAACGAAGUGGGAAGGCUAAAACAGUCAGGAUGUUGGCUUAGAAGCAGCCAUCAUUUAAAGAAAGCGUAAUAGCUCACUGAUCGAGUCGUCCUGCGCGGAAGAUGUAACGGGGCUAAGCCAGUUACCGAAGCUGCGGAUUUGCAAUUUAUUGCAAGUGGUAGGAGAGCGUUCUGUAAGCCUGUGAAGGUGCCUGGUAACGGGUGCUGGAGGUAUCAGAAGUGCGAAUGCUGACAUGAGUAGCGUUAAAGGGGGUGAAAAGCCCCCUCGCCGUAAGCGCAAGGUUUCCUACGCAACGUUCAUCGGCGUAGGGUGAGUCGGCCCCU